rnacentral:rRNA from 1 species
GAUGAACGCUGACAGAAUGCUUAACACAUGCAAGUCAACUUGGACUUCGGUUUGGGUGGCGGACGGGUGAGUAACGCGUAAAGAACUUGCCUCACAGAUAGGGACAACAUUUGGAAACGAAUGCUAAUACCUGAUAUUAUGAUUUUAGGGCAUCCUAGAAUUAUGAAAGCUAUAUGCGCUGUGAGAGAGCUUUGCGUCCCAUUAGCUAGUUGGAGAGGUAACGGCUCACCAAGGCGAUGAUGGGUAGCCGGCCUGAGAGGGUGAUCGGCCACAAGGGGACUGAGACACGGCCCUUACUCCUACGGGAGGCAGCAGUGGGGAAUAUUGGACAAUGGACCAAGAGUCUGAUCCAGCAAUUCUGUGUGCACGAUGAAGUUUUUCGGAAUGUAAAGUGCUUUCAGUUGGGAAGAAAAAAAUGACGGUACCAACAGAAGAAGUGACGGCUAAAUACGUGCCAGCAGCCGCGGUAAUACGUAUGUCACAAGCGUUAUCCGGAUUUAUUGGGCGUAAAGCGCGUCUAGGUGGUUAUAUAAGUCUGAUGUGAAAAUGCAGGGCUCAACUCUGUAUUGCGUUGGAAACUGUGUAACUAGAGUACUGGAGAGGUAAGCGGAACUACAAGUGUAGAGGUGAAAUUCGUAGAUAUUUGUAGGAAUGCCGAUGGGGAAGCCAGCUUGCUGGACAGAUACUGACGCUGAAGCGCGAAAGCGUGGGUAGCAAACAGG